rnacentral:lncRNA from 1 species
AAUUUACAACAUUGACAAUGUCUACACUGUAUUUCUGAUCAAUUUGAUGUUAUUUUAAUGGACACAUUUUUUGGGCUUUUCUUUCAAAAACAAGGACAUUUCUAAGUGACCCCAAACCUUUGAAUGGUAGUGUGUGUGUAUAUAAACUCAGCAAAAAAAGAAACGUCUUCUCACUGUCAACUGCAUUUAUUUUCAGAAAACUUAACAUGUAAAAGUUUGUAUGAACAUAAGAUUCAACAACUGAGACAUAAAGUGAACAAGUUCCACAGAAAUGUGACUAACAUAAAUGGAAUAAUGUGUCCCUGGACAAAGUGGGGGUCAAAAUCAAAAGUAACAGUCAGUAUCUGGUAUGGCCACCAGCUGCAUUAAGUACUGCAGUGCAUCUCCUCCUCAUGGACUGCACCAGAACCCUAUGUGCCCUGGUCAAAAGCACACUACGUGACCAUAAGUAUGUGGACACCUGCUUGUCGAACAUCACAUUCCAAAAUCAAUGGGCAUUAAUAUGGAGUUGGUCCCCCUUUUACUGCUAUAACAGCCGACACUCUUUUGAAAAGGCUUUCCACUAGAUGUUGGAGCAUUGCUGUGGGGCCUGGCUUGAUCGGCUUUCCAAAUCAUCCUAAAGGUGUUCGAUGGGGUUGAGGUCAGGGCUUUGUGCAGGCCAGUCAAGUUCUUCCACACCGAUCUCGACAAACCAUUUCUGUAUGGACCUCACUUUGUGCAUGGGGGCAUUGUCAGGCUGAAACAGGAAAGGGCCUUCCCUAAACUGUUGCCACAAAGUUGGAAGCACAGAAUCGUCUAGAAUGUCAUUGUAUUCUGUAGCAUGGAACUAAGUGGUCUAGCACAAACCAUGAAAAACAGCCCCAGACUAUUAUUCCUCCUCCACCAAACUUUACAGUUAGCACUAUGCAUUGGGGCAGGUGGCGUUCUCCUGGCAUCCAUCAAACCCAGAUUCGUCUGUCGGACUGCCAGAUGGUGAAGCGCGAUUCAUCACUCCAGAGAACGUGUUUCCACUGCUCCAGAGUCCAAUGGAGGCAAGAUUUACACCACUCCAGCCGACGCUUGGCAUUGCUCAUGGUGAUCUUAGGCUUGAGUGUGGCUGCUCGGCAAUUGAAACCCAUUUCAUGAAGCUCCCGACGAACAGUUCUUGUGCUGAUGUUGCUUCCAGAGGCAGUUUGGAACUCAGUAGUGAGUGUUGCAACCGAGGACAGACUAUUUUUUGACCACUUCAGCACUCAGCGGUCCCAUUCUGUGAACUUGUGUGACCUACCACUUUACGGCAGAGCUGUUGUUGCUCCUAGAUGUUUCCACUUCACAUUAACAGCACUUACAGUUGACCGGGCAGCUCUAGCAGGGCAGAAUUUGGACUAACUGACAUGUUGGAAAGGUGGAAUCCUAUGACGAUGCCAUCUUUAAAGUCACUGAGCUCUUCAGGAAAGGACCAGAAAUACUGGGAUAAUAUCAUGCACAGUUUGCCUGGAGGAGUUCCAAACCCCCAUUACCUAUCUGUCAGAGCCUGUGGACGUGUACAGUGAUUGGAUAGACGCUUGUGAAGCAGCCAAUCAGUAGCCCAGGCUCACCGGGGCGGAAGACCUCACGUUGGAACAGGAAGCUGAUUUAGAGGUGGCUCUCGUCUGUUUCUCACCAAUCACUGCCAGUCUUCAGCCCAAGAUGAUGGUCCCGUUCCAGGCCGACUACAUUGCAGACGUUGCGUUGCGUCAACCAAUAGCUGCGUGCCACGUCAUCAACUGCAGUUAGGCAUCAUAUUGCUAUGUCAUGUGGUUAGCUGAUAUGUGAACCAACUAUCCAGAUGUUGUGAGAUCUGGCAGAUGCCUACAAUGUAGUCAGCCUGGUAAGCAGCCUCUAACCUUUACCUCACCGCACAUCUCCCACACUAGUGACCUGGCGUCCACCGAGACUGUCUUGCGUAGCCAUAGUUCAGUCCAGAGGCCUAUAUAGGCCAUGCUCCAAAUGGCACCCCAUUCCCUAUGUAGGGCACUACUUUUGACCAGCUCCAGUAGGGCUCGGGUGGAAAAUAGUGCACAAUAUAGGGAAUAGGGUUCCAUUUGGGAUGUGACCUUAAGAGGUAUAUAUGACUCUGGUUAAGUCAACCUAUUCCCCUACUCACCGUUUUAAUUUAUGCAGAUCUCAUUUUCCAAGCGGUCAGUUGUCAUGGCUCCUAGUUUGCUGGUAGGAUUAUACAGGUAGUAGCUGCUCUUGGGUUAGUUUCACCACAAUUAGUUUUUACUCUCCCCUGUGUACAGUUCUUCUAGAGAUACACAAUACCACAGUGUACAGCGAUACCAUAGUGUUGGCUCAUUCCAUUGGGGUAUAUUCGGUGGAACUCUGAGUGUGUGUUUAUGCAGAGUAACUUGUCACUCUUCAUGCUAACUAGUGGGGUGUUCCAGAAAGCAGGAUUGUUAAGUUAGCCAGCUAACUUUGAUAUGUAGUUAAAUAUAUCUUUAUUUUAUAUUUAGAAAGCUAAACUUGAAUAUGGGUUGUUGUUGGUUGUCAAGUCAAUUAUACCAUGACAAUUUCAAGUUAGAUUUUUGUGGGACUGUUAGCUGGCUGAGUCCUUGAUCCUGCUUUCUGAAACAGUCUAAACUCUCAAGUGGUUUAUGAAAUAUUUUCUAUGAAUAUCCCAGGUCCUUUUUCUCAAUUUUAAAAUGCUUCCGGUAUCUCCCUGAAGACAUUCCUUUGUUAGAGAAAAUGGACUGAAAGGGAGAGGUAUGAUGGUACAUACACACCAGGUAAACAGUAGGUCCAAAUUAGUAUUAUUGAUUUGAUUAUUUUAGUUUUUCAAAUGAUAAGAAAAUUGCCAAUGAUUUGCAAUUGGUUGCCCUUUGUAAUGAUUUUUAUUUUCAAUGUGACAAAUUAAAGUGUUGUAUUUUGACACCCACAAUGAAUGUGUCUGUGUCAAUGGUGUGAGAGUUAACUAACGUCUAAAGUCUGUAGAGCAUGUUUCUACUGGAGAGACAUGCCGUUUCAUUUCCUGCUAAUAGGCUAGCUAG